rnacentral:misc_RNA from 1 species
AAUAAUUAAUUUUAAAACAUAAAUAACAAUUCACGAAAGAUUUUUCGUAUUAACAUUGGAAUGAAAUUGUUUUAGAAGUCAUAACUCAAAUUGAGAUCAAAGUAUCAAAAGUUAAACCUAAGUAAAAUUGAAACGACGAAUAAUCAAACCAACGUUCAUACAUAAAAUUUGAUUUAAUUUCAAUUCUUAAUCGCACACUCCAAACUGCUCAGGUAAUUAAAUGUUGAGUUGACCUUCUUUUGAAGAUGAU